CUGUCGCUGGGGAGAAAUUCAGCUUGGGGGAAAGCGCCGCGAAGUAUAAUUUUAAAUAAAGUAAAACAUUAUAAAUAAUAAAAUAUUGAUUAUUAUUUAUAUUUCUAUUUCUAUUAAUUUAUUUAUUGACUACUUUUUUGCCUAAAUAAGAGGUUAAAAUAAUAAAUGAAAAGGAAAAUUGAUUUGAUUAUUCAUUUAUUUGAAUAGUAAGUGUAGUUAUUCUUUAACUUAUAAUUUUAUUAUAAUUUGAUUAGGUAUUUAACUGCUUUUUUUAUGUAUAAUUAGUUUCGACUAACCCAUCUGAGUAACAUCUCAAAAGUCAUAGCA
rnacentral:rRNA from 1 species